GCCCGCCUAGCUCAAUCGGAUAGAGCGUCAGACUUUUAAGGCGGGUCAUUACACGACCUUACGUAAUCUGAAGGCUGCGAGUUCGACCCUCGCGGUGGGCU